UACGGAGGGGGCGAGCGUUAUUCGGAAUUAUUGGGCGUAAAGGGCGCGUAGGCGGCUUGAUAAGUCAAAGGUGAAAUCCCUCGGCUCAACUGAGGAACUGCCUUUGAAACUGUCGGGCUUGAGGCCGGGAGGGGGUAGCGGAAUUCCCAGUGUAGCGGUGAAAUGCGUAGAUACUGGGAGGAACACCGGUGGCGAAGGCGGCUACCUGGACCGGUUCUGACGCUGAGGCGCGAAAGCGUGGGUAGCAAACAGG
rnacentral:rRNA from 1 species